GUGCUCGCUUUGGCAGCACAUGCAGUAAAAUUGGAAGGAUACAGAGAAGAUUAGCAUGGACCCUGUGCCAGGAUGACAUGCAAAUUCAUGAAGCGCUCCAUAUUUUU
ensembl:snRNA U6 U6 spliceosomal RNA